UGGGGAAUAUUGGACAAUGGGCGAAAGCCUGAUCCAGCCAUGCCGCAUGUGUGAAGAAGGUCUUCGGAUUGUAAAGCACUUUAAGUUGGGAGGAAGGGCAGUAAGCGAAUACCUUGCUGUUUUGACGUUACCGACAGAAUAAGCACCGGCUAACUCUGUGCCAGCAGCCGCGGUAAUACAGAGGGUGCAAGCGUUAAUCGGAAUUACUGGGCGUAAAGCGCGCGUAGGUGGUUCGUUAAGUUGAAUGUGAAAGCCCCGGGCUCAACCUGGGAACUGCAUCCAAAACUGGCGAGCUAGAGUAGGGCAGAGGGUGGUGGAAUUUCCUGUGUGGCGGUGAAAUGCGUAGAUAUAGGAAGGAACACCAGUGGCGAAGGCGACCACCUGGGCUCAUACUGACACUGAGGUGCGAAAGCGUGGGGAGCAAACAGG
rnacentral:rRNA from 1 species